rnacentral:rRNA from 1 species
CCUACGGGUGGCAGCAGUGGGGAAUAUUGGACAAUGGGCGAAAGCCUGAUCCAGCCAUGCCGCGUGUGUGAAGAAGGCCUUCGGGUUGUAAAGCACUUUCAGUGGGGAAGAAAGCCUUGGGGCUAAUACCCUCGAGGAAGGACAUCACCCACAGAAGAAGCACCGGCUAACUCCGUGCCAGCAGCCGCGGUAAUACGGAGGGUGCGAGCGUUAAUCGGAAUUACUGGGCGUAAAGCGCGCGUAGGCGGUCUGAUAAGCCGGUUGUGAAAGCCCCGGGCUCAACCUGGGAACGGCAUCCGGAACUGUCAGGCUAGAGUGCAGGAGAGGAAGGUAGAAUUCCCGGUGUAGCGGUGAAAUGCGUAGAGAUCGGGAGGAAUACCAGUGGCGAAGGCGGCCUUCUGGAGUGACACUGACGCUGAGGUGCGAAAGCGUGGGUAGCAAACAGGAUUAGAUACCCUUGUAGUC